GAAUGCGAUCAUACCAGCGCUAAUACACCGGAUCCCAUUAGAACUCCGAAGCUAAAUGUGCUUGGGCGAGAGUAGUACUAAGAUGGGUGACCUCUUGGGAAGUACUCGUGGUGCACCCA
rnacentral:rRNA from 1 species